CAGCAGUAGCCACGGUAACACGUAGGGUGCAAGCGUUAAUCGGAAUUACUGGGCGUAAAGCGUGCGCAGGCGGUUAUAUAAGACAGAUGUGAAAUCCCCGGGCUCAACCUGGGAACUGCAUUUGUGACUGUAUAGCUAGAGUACGGCAGAGGGGGAUGGAAUUCCGCGUGUAGCAGUGAAAUGCGUAGAUAUGCGGAGGAACACCGAUGGCGAAGGCAAUCCCCUGGGCCUGUACUGACGCUCAUGCACGAAAGCGUGGGGAGCAAACAGGAUUAGAUACCCCGGUAGUCCCUGUCUCUUAUAA
rnacentral:rRNA from 1 species